UCUGUGCGGCGAUUACCCUACAACUUGCGUGUUACUCGCAGGCUAUUUUUUCAUGGGCUUGUUUGAGUGUCAAACCAGGUUAAGAGAUAGGUAGAAUGUCUUAACGCCCUAUUCUGAUCGCUUGUUUUAUAUCACAGGCAGUUAGAGGGCUGGUGAUUCUUAUAUUU
rnacentral:snoRNA from 1 species